AGAUUAAGUUAUUAAGGGCGCACGGUGGAUGCCUUGGCACUAGAAGCCGAUGAAGGACGUUACUAACGACGAUAUGCUUUGGGGAGCUGUAAGUAAGCUUUGAUCCAGAGAUUUCCGAAUGGGGAAACCCAGCACGAGUUAUGUCGUGUUAUCUGCAUGUGAAUACAUAGCAUGCAAGAAGGCAGACCCGGAGAACUGAAACAUCUUAGUACCCGGAGGAAGAGAAAGAAAAAUCGAUUCCCUGAGUAGCGGCGAGCGAAACGGGAAGAGCCCAAACCAAUAAGCUUGCUUAUUGGGGUUGUAGGACACUCUGUACGGAGUUACAAAAGAAUUUGUUAGACGAAUAACCUGGAAAGGUUAAUCAGAGAAGGUAAUAAUCCUGUAGUCGAAAACGAAUUCUCUCUUGAGUGGAUCCUGAGUACGACGGAGCACGUGAAAUUCCGUCGGAAUCUGGGAGGACCAUCUCCUAAGGCUAAAUACUCUCUAGUGACCGAUAGUGAACCAGUACCGUGAGGGAAAGGUGAAAAGUACCCCGGAAGGGGAGUGAAAGAGAACUUGAAACCGUGUGCUUACAAGUAGUCAGAGCCCGUUAAUGGGUGAUGGCGUGCCUUUUGUAGAAUGAACCGGCGAGUUACGAUCUGAUGCAAGGUUAAGCAGAAAAUGUGGAGCCGUAGCGAAAGCGAGUCUGAAUAGGGCGAAUGAGUAUUUGGUCGUAGACCCGAAACCAGGUGAUCUACCCUUGGUCAGGUUGAAGUUCAGGUAACACUGAAUGGAGGACCGAACCGACUUACGUUGAAAAGUGAGCGGAUGAACUGAGGGUAGCGGAGAAAUUCCAAUCGAACUUGGAGAUAGCUGGUUCUCUCCGAAAUAGCUUUAGGGCUAGCCUCAAGUGAUGAUUAUUGGAGGUAGAGCACUGUUUGGACGAGGGGCCCCUCUCGGGUUACCGAAUUCAGACAAACUCCGAAUGCCAAAUAAUUUAACUUGGGAGUCAGAAUGUGGGUGAUAAGGUCCAUAUUCGAAAGGGAAACAGCCCAGACCACCAGCUAAGGUCCCAAAAUAUAUGUUAAGUGGAAAAGGAUGUGGCGUUGCCCAGACAACUAGGAUGUUGGCUUAGAAGCAGCCAUCAUUUAAAGAGUGCGUAAUAGCUCACUAGUCGAGUGACACUGCGCCGAAAAUGUACCGGGGCUAAACAUAUUACCGAAGCUGUGGAUUGUCCUUUGGACAAUGGUAGGAGAGCGUUCUAAGGGCGUUGAAGCAUGAUCGCAAGGACAUGUGGAGCGCUUAGAAGUGAGAAUGCCGGUGUGAGUAGCGAAAGACGGGUGAGAAUCCCGUCCACCGAUUGACUAAGGUUUCCAGAGGAAGGCUCGUCCGCUCUGGGUUAGUCGGGUCCUAAGCUGAGGCCGACAGGCGUAGGCGAUGGAUAACAGGUUGAUAUUCCUGUACCACCAUUAUUCGUUUUAAGCGAUGGGGGGACGCAGUAGGAUAGGCGAAGCGUGCUGUUGGAGUGCACGUCCAAGCAGUGAG
rnacentral:rRNA from 1 species